AUGCUCAUGCGGACUGUGUCCUCCCCAUCCCCUGGGCUGAGGCUUCAGAGGGGGACUGUGCGUCCCCACACCCAGGGCUGGGACUACCUGGGGCUACACUUUGCCCCCAGGGCCGGGGAGGCUGGGGGGCAGUACCUCCUUCCCAGGGCUAGGGAUGCUCGGGGCAACGUCUCCCCCCCGGGGCCGGGGAUGCUCGGGGCAGUGUGUCCCCCCUCCCCGGGGCCGGGGACGCUCGGGGCAGUGUGUCCCCCCUCCCCGGGGCCGGGGACGCUCGGGGCAGCACGUCCCCCCCGGCCGGGCCCCCCUUACCUUUCCCGGAGGGAGCCCGGCGCAGCCCCUCAGCCCGGCCGCUCCGCUCUCCGCCGCCGGAAACUUCCCGGGGCUCCCGCGGCGCCCAUGGCAGCUCCGCGGGGCUGCGGCGGGGGCGCGCAGGGUCCGCGGCCGCGGGAGCGCGCAGGGUCCGCGGCCGCGGCUCAGCACCGGCCGUCGCGGACAGCUCCGCUCCCGCCGCGCCCGCCGCGCCGCCGGGGCCGGCAGCACCGGGGCUGCGCCCUGCCCUGCGCCAGCCCGGGCGGCAGCUGCCUGCUCUCGUCCCGCGGGGCUGGGGCGCCCGCGUCCUCCUCCCGGGCACCCUCCUGCCCGGGCACCCUCCUGCCCGGGCACCCUCCCUCAGCUCAGACACCCUCCUGCCCGGGCACCUUCCUCUCCACGCAUCCCUCCUGCCCGGGCACCCUCCCUCAGCUCAGACACCCUCCUGCCCGGGCACCUUCCUCUCCACGCAUCCCUCCUGCCCGGGCACUCUCCUCCCCGCGCACCUCCUGCCCGGGCACCCUCAGCUCAGGCUCCCUCAGACCACGCACCCUCCUCCCAGGCACCCUCGUGCUGGACACCCUCCCCCCCAGCCGCACACUCAGCCCAUUCACCUCCUCCCCAGUCACACAUCCCCACUGGCUGGCUUUGAAGCUGCUAUUUUUGUUGCAAGGGAAACCGAGGCAGGGAGAGGCUAGUUCAGGGUAG
rnacentral:lncRNA from 1 species